GACGGAGGGUGCAAACGUUGUUCGGAAUUACUGGGCGUAAAGCGCGUGUAGGCGGCCCUGCAAGUCGGGUGUGAAAUCCCACGGCUCAACCGUGGAAGUGCACUCGAAACUGCAGGGCUAGAGUCCUGGAGAGGAAGGUGGAAUGCUUGGUGUAGAGGUGAAAUUCGUAGAUAUCAAGCGGAACACCGGUGGCGAAGGCGGCCUUCUGGACAGUGACGUGACGCUGAGACGCGAAAGCGUGGGGAGCAAACAGG
rnacentral:rRNA from 1 species